rnacentral:rRNA from 1 species
GACGAACGCUGGCGGCGUGCUUAACACAUGCAAGUCGAACGGAAAGGCCCUGCUUUUGUGGGGCGCUCGAGUGGCGAACGGGUGAGUAACACGUGAGUAACCUGUCCUUGACUUAGGGAUAACUUCAGGAAACUGGGGCUAAUACCGGAUAGGAGCUCUUGCUGCAUGGUGGGGGUUGGAAAGAUUCGGCGGUUGGGGAUGGACUGGCGGCUUAUCAGCUUGUUGGUGGGGUAGUGGCUUACCAAGGUUUUGACGGGUAGCCGGCCUGAGAGGUUGACCGGCCACAUUACGACUGAGGUACGACGCAGCCUCGUACGGGACGCAACGGGGGAGAGUAUUACACAGUAGGCGGAAGCCAGAUGCGACAACGCCGCGUGCGGGAAGACGGCCUUCGGGUUGUGAACCAAUUUCUCCUGAGACGAGGCGUGAGUGACGGUAACGGGUAAAGAAGCACCGGCUAACUACGUG